rnacentral:snRNA from 1 species
AACGUUUAGAAGUCGAAGAAGGCUAAAAUCAAGUGCAGUAUCUGUUCUUAUCAGUUUAAUAUCUGAUACGCCCCCUAUCUGGGGGCCAUAUAUUAAAUGGAUUUUUAGAACAGGGCGAUGGAAGAAGAGCUUGCUCUGUCCACUCCACGCAUUGACCUGGUAUUGCAGUAUCUCCAGGACCGGUGCACAAAAA